rnacentral:rRNA from 1 species
AUUGAACGCUGGCGGAAUGCUUUACACAUGCAAGUCGAACGGUAGAGGGGGCAACCUCUUGAGAGUGGCGAACGGGUGAGUAAUGUAUCGGAACGUGCCCAGUCGUGGGGGAUAACGUAGUGAAAAUUACGCUAAUACCGCAUACGAUCUAUGGAUGAAAGCGGGGAUAGCAAGACCUCGCGCGAUUGGAGCGGCCGAUAUCAGAUUAAGUAGUUGGUGAGGUAAAGGCUCACCAAGCCAACGAUCUGUAGCUGGUCUGAGAGGACGACCAGCCACACUGGAACUGAGACACGGUCCAGACUCCUACGGGAGGCAGCAGUGGGGAAUUUUGGACAAUGGACGCAAGUCUGAUCCAGCCAUUCCGCGUGCAGGACGAAGGCCUUCGGGUUGUAAACUGCUUCUGUACGGAGCGAAACGGCUUCCACUAAUACUGGGGGCUAAUGACGGUACCGUAAGAAUAAGCACCGGCUAACUACGUGCCAGCCGCCGCCGUAA